UCAAAAUCUGAGAUCAAAAGGAAAUGAGAAACCCUUCUUCUUCACAUCACCGAAACCUCCAUCACCCUCAACAUUCAUCUUGCGCACCCACCACGGCGGAAGCCAUAUCUCGACAAUCCGACCACCAAAUUCAGCGAUUCAAACUCGGAUACGAAGCUAACACACCAAGGAACAAGACUCGGCGAGGCGACUACCAAUAGGACGCGGAACGUAAAGAACGCGACAUCGCUUUGCUAUGACCGUAGUUUUGGAUAGAAAACAUGUUAUGUUUCAGGUGUAUAGUAUCAGAUGUAACGGACUUCUAUCCUUGUUCCAGAAGUCCGCGAGUACAGAAAGAAGGAACCAAUCAGUAGUGCUGCAGUAGUCGAGUCCUAGAGUGUAAUUAUGUUUUGUCAAACGGUUUUAAAUAUUUUGUUUAUACUCUGAUAUGUAUAAAGGCUUUAGACUGCGCUUUUAAACCGUUUGCAUAUAUGUGAGAAACAGGGCAUUGCUUGAUAUGAGAUAUCGCUUUGUAAGACCCUGAUUUCUAAAGAUCGUCUUGUAUCGUUUAAAAGAAGUUUUAUAAAAACGUUUUGUGAA